CUAUGGCCGAAUAUAGCAAGGAGAAACCAUGGCUAGGGUUUUUCAAGCUUCCAAGCUCAAUUUGUUGACAAGCCAGCUCGGAAAUCGGAAACGGUCGGAGGCACGCUCACACUAUCCGUAUACCAUCUUGGCAUAAUGGCUUCUAUAUUUUGAGUAUGGCAUGUAUAGCAUUAUAAUCAUUUUGUGUAUAUGGCCUUAUGAUAUGGUUAUUGAGUGGUA